AUUCUGCUUUUUACAUAAACUUUUCAUAUUUAGUUACUUUAUUUUCUGCACCUCUUUAUGCUAAUAUCUGAAAUCCUUACAAGAGUCCUCAUUUGUUGUUUUUAUUCCUUGUGCAUAUUUGAUUUUUUAUUCAGUCAACUCAUAUUUGACUGAAUUUAUUUUUUAAGAAAUUAUAAGUGGUUUAGAUUAAAAGAUAAGUUCUUGAAGAAAUUUUAUGUCUCUAAAACUUCUUCAAACAGCUUCCUGUCUUAGCACAUCUCUUUGCCUGGUUGAUUGUCUUCCAUCAAUGGUAGUAUGAAUGGAGAUAAACGAAAACAAAAUCAAUACAACAUCUGGUUCUAAAGGACAGUGAGGGAUUCUCCUGUUAUUCGUUUAUGCUACUCCAUGAAUAUUCCCUAUGUUAAAAGGCUUUCAAGGCAGGAAAUCUUCUAAUUUUCAUUAGGAACACUAGUCUCUUACACAGGAAGUUUUUACAAAAUCCUGCGAAAAAGAUGCCUAUAUUGUCAAAAUACACAUUUCACACUUCCUAUUAAAAUGUCCUCUAAAAAGCAUUGUAAUCCAAUUAAGAAAACAUGUUUUGCAUGUCAUUCCAAAUGUGUCUAUCUUAAAACUGAUUUAAUGAUGAGGUAAUAGUACUCUUUCCUGUUCUUCUUUUAAUUCAAAAAAUCUUGGAGCUCCCUUGUGGUGCAGUGGGUUAGGGAUCUAGCAUUGUCAUUGCUUUGGUAGGGGUUUGAUCCCUGGUGGGGGAACUUCCACAUGCAGUGGGUGUGGCCAAAUUUUUUUUAGUUAAAAAAAGAAUUUGUUCAUAUAUCCAUUUGCUUCUGAAAUCAUAUUAUGACUAUGGUCUUUUAAAUCAAUAAAAUAUCCAACUGAAAUCCACAAAACUCUUUGUGGAUCUUAAAAGCUCCUAAGCCUCCAAGGAAUACACAAAUUUCCCUUUCUCCUAAUGAGAAAGGUGACAGAGUUCACUACAUUCCUAUAAAUAAACAUCAUCCUUUGUAACUAAAACUCUCCAAAAUGUCUUCCUUUCAGAGGUCUGAGGGCCUAUCACUAUUUGCACAGUAAUGAAGUCCUUCAUUUUGGUAUAUGUGAACUUAAUACUCUUUAGUGCAUCCAGACAAUCCUCAAGAACUCCAAGGAGCCUUUGGCAGACAAGGCGUCAGGAAAUCUAUGGGAAAGCAUCAGUAGAAGAUCUAUAACAUGAGGCAACAGUAAAUGGAUCUGGGAAUGCCAUGAAUUUUAGGAAAUUAUGGACUCCAAAAAGGAAUGGGAACAUAGACAAAUUGUCUUCUUGGGAGGUAGGAAUGAAGAGUGAAGGGGAGGAUAUGAAGAACAUUUCAGAUUGCCAGAGAAGUAAACUUUAGGGUGAAACAAAGGUGCCAGUGAAUUCUCUGAUUUCUGUACCUAGCAAUUUUGAAAUGCUUCAUGGUAUAUGAACAGCUCUAUUAUGUGCCUAAGUCUACAUCUCUUCAACCAAGAUAAAAGCACUGGACACUAUCCUAAGUAUAAAACUACAAAGUAAAACAUUCAGAAAUAUUCUAGUUUUAAGUAUGGCGAAGAAAAAAUAACAUACAAGAAAAUACACAAGUUAUUUUACAGUAACUUUAGCAAAUCAGAAGCUUAAUUAGGGUUGCCUUUAAAAAUGAACUUUCUCAAAGUAGAGCUAUGAUUUCAGGUUUGUUCAGGUGCAGGUUAUGAUGUAAUUUACAGAAAACUGAAAUUUUUUUUUUUUAAUCUUUUUAGGGCCAUACCCGUGGCAUAUGGAGGUUCCUAGGCUAGGGGUCGAAUCUUCCCAAGCUAGGGGUUGAAUCGGAGUUGAAGCUGCUGGCCUACACCACAGCCACAGCCAGAUCCGAGCUGAGUCUGUGAUCUACACCACAGCUCACGGCAAUGCCGGAUCCUUAACCCACUAAGCGAGGCCAGGGAUCGAACCCGCCACCUCAUGGUUCCUAGUCAGAUUAGUUUCCACUGUACCACAACGGGAACUCCUGAGAAAGCUGAAAUAUUUGAUAGUUCUAUCUAGUAAGCAGAACUUUAAAAAUAAUGUUUGUUGAUGUUUUUGAGUGGUAGUUCAAAGAACAUGGAAUAAAAUUCAAAAGGAUAAACAAUAAAAAAAUGAACUUUGGAGUUGUUAGAUGUGUAUUAACUUAUUCAAAAGUAUAUACUGAGCAUUAUAUUGGUUAUAUGUAAUAUGGGAUUACAAAGAAUAAGUGAAGGCUUGGGCAACUUAAGUCUUACAGAAAAAAAUUUAACUUAAUUUGGCAUUUCACAAAAUUAUGUAACUGCAUCUUUUUUCACCUAACACCUGUAAACAGAUCAUGACACUUUAGAAAAUGCUGAUUUGGGCACACGGUUUUAAAAAAUGUAUUCCUACAUACUUCCUAAGGCACUGAAAACAUAAAUUUUUAACACUUUUCACAUUUUCAGAAAACAUGAAAGAGCAAGUUUGCAAAUUCUUGGGAAUCAUAAAAAUAAUGAGAGACAGAGUUAAGAGGGAGGAGGGAAAACAACAAAUAGCUUUCCCAUACCACAGAAAAUGAUCUAUAACUGUAAAUUAUGGUCUAUAAAGACUAAAAAUAACCAUACAAUUUAAGAAACAGGUGAUUUAAAUAUACAAUCAUUUUACCAAAAUCUACUUCAAGUAUAUAUACUAUUUAGACUGUUUCAAACAUAUUUUAAUCUGCAAUAAACUUUAUAUUCCUAAUUACAUGCACAGGAAAGACAUUACAUGUUCUGUAUUCCAUUUGUUAACAUUCAUUAUUUCUGUCUUCUUCUAAAUGUUAAGUUUGUACCUGAUCUUCACUCUUGAUGUUAGCUUGUGGAAAUCUGGUAUUUAGCACUCUUUUAAUUAAAAAAAAUUUUUUUGGUCUUUUUAAGGCUGCAUCAGCAACAUGUGGAGGUUCCAGACUAGGGGUCCAAUCGGAGCUGUAGCCACAGCAACAAGGGAUCCCAGCCACGUCUGCAACCUACACCACAGCUCACGGCAACACCGGAUACCUAACACACUGAGCAAGGCCAGGGAUCGAACCCGCAACCUCAUGGUUCCUAGUCAGAUUCGUUAACCACUGUGACACGACAUAAACUCCAGUAUUUAGGCACUUCUAACUGCUCCUUUAAUAAAUGAAUCUUAGCAAGAGUAAAAUUGGAAAAUACACUCUCUUCCUCUUAACUGCAGAAAAGUAAACACAUUCUAUUCAACGUCAUAAAACUGACUUUACAAGUAUUUUUUUAAAAAUAGUACUAUCAGACCUCCGAAUUUCAGUGUUGCUAUAGCCUGGAAAAUAACUUAUACCUUUUAAAGUCUGUGAUUCUGAUUGCCUGGUUUAAUAAUUUGACGCCUUGUUAAUAUUUAAAAUAACAUUCUGAUUUCUGAAAUUUUCUUGCAAAUUUAUUUUUUAAGAUGAGGAAGAAAAUCAUUGGCACAUUCCUUUUCUUGCAAAUAUAUGGUCAUACACACUUAUACACACAUCUCUGGUUAGAUAUGAUUUCUACUUUAAAGAGUUUUUGCUAUCUCAACUUGUUUAAUUAGUAACAGGCGCUACGACUAAAAACACUUGUGUAUAAUAUUGAAGAGGGAACUGGUAGCUCAGAAAAAAAAACAAAAAAAAAACAACCAAAUUGGUCUCUGGAUGUGCAGUCUCUUUUCAACACAAAGUAGUAAGAUUUUGCUUUCUCCAUAGUUUUCCUAGGUGGCAGAAAGU
rnacentral:lncRNA from 1 species